GCUAAUGGAUGGACUUGCAGGGGACACUGCCCCAUCAGGAGAGAAAGGUAGCCUUACUCUCAUCUGCCCCACCAAGAGGAACCUAAGGUCCUAUUUCCUGGGGGUGUCUCAAAAAUCGGCAGAGUCAUUCUCCCCCACCAUCCCUCCUUGCCUCCACUCCCCUCGGCCUUCUGGAUCCCCGUGGGUUUGGAGAGGCCGAUGCUUGUGGCUCUUACCAACAUCAAUUUGCAGUCUCCAGGAUGCAACUUCACCCUAUGCUGCGUUCAUAAAUUAAUCUCCUGGGAUUAGAUUCUGUGUUUUAGUAACACUCCUGAGGCAUUGUAUUUACACAUUAAUAAUAAAAGAAAAAAAGUGAGACAAGUUCUGACAACUUUCAAUAACAUUCAGAAAUAAAGUGCGAGGCACGGAAGUGUCCAAAGUUAAUUAAAACCAUUUGGUGCUGACGGGGGCUGGGGGUGUUGCCUGCCGAGCUCCGACAGGUGCUGUUUCUGAAAUGCAAUUUUCCUGUCUAUAAUGUACCUGAUGCCUGCAGAAAAGGAGAAACCGAAAUAAACCGAACUGGCAGCAUGAGCUUGAA
rnacentral:lncRNA from 1 species